UACGAAGGGGGCUAGCGUUGUUCGGAAUUACUGGGCGUAAAGCGCACGUAGGCGGAUAUUUAAGUCAGGGGUGAAAUCCCAGAGCUCAACUCUGGAACUGCCUUUGAUACUGGGUAUCUUGAGUAUGGAAGAGGUAAGUGGAAUUGCGAGUGUAGAGGUGAAAUUCGUAGAUAUUCGCAGGAACACCGGUGGCGAAGGCGGCAUCCUGGACCGGCAUUGACGCUGAGGCGCGAAAGCUAGGGGAGCAAACGGG
rnacentral:rRNA from 1 species